rnacentral:tRNA from 1 species
GAGAUAGUAGUAUAAUAUUAGUAUGAUUUAUUUUCAAUAAAUAGGAAAGUUAUCUUG